rnacentral:rRNA from 1 species
GGGUUGUGAGGUUAAGCGACUAAGCGUACACGGUGGAUGCCCUGGCAGUCAGAGGCGAUGAAGGACGUGCUAAUCUGCGAUAAGCGUCGGUAAGGUGAUAUGAACCGUUAUAACCGGCGAUUUCCGAAUGGGGAAACCCAGUGUGUUUCGACACACUAUCAUUAACUGAAUCCAUAGGUUAAUGAGGCGAACCGGGGGAACUGAAACAUCUAAGUACCCCGAGGAAAAGAAAUCAACCGAGAUUCCCCCAGUAGCGGCGAGCGAACGGGGAGCAGCCCAGAGCCUGAAUCAGUGUGUGUGUUAGUGGAAGCGUCUGGAAAGGCGCGCGAUACAGGGUGACAGCCCCGUACACAAAAAUGCACAUACUGUGAGCUCGAUGAGUAGGGCGGGACACGUGGUAUCCUGUCUGAAUAUGGGGGGACCAUCCUCCAAGGCUAAAUACUCCUGACUGACCGAUAGUGAACCAGUACCGUGAGGGAAAGGCGAAAAGAACCCCGGCGAGGGGAGUGAAAAAGAACCUGAAACCGUGUACGUACAAGCAGUGGGAGCACGCUUAGGCGUGUGACUGCGUACCUUUUGUAUAAUGGGUCAGCGACUUAUAUUCUGUAGCAAGGUUAACCGAAUAGGGGAGCCGAAGGGAAACCGAGUCUUAACUGGGCGUUAAGUUGCAGGGUAUAGACCCGAAACCCGGUGAUCUAGCCAUGGGCAGGUUGAAGGUUGGGUAACACUAACUGGAGGACCGAACCGACUAAUGUUGAAAAAUUAGCGGAUGACUUGUGGCUGGGGGUGAAAGGCCAAUCAAACCGGGAGAUAGCUGGUUCUCCCCGAAAGCUAUUUAGGUAGCGCCUCGUGAAUUCAUCUCCGGGGGUAGAGCACUGUUUCGGCAAGGGGGUCAUCCCGACUUACCAACCCGAUGCAAACUGCGAAUACCGGAGAAUGUUAUCACGGGAGACACACGGCGGGUGCUAACGUCCGUCGUGAAGAGGGAAACAACCCAGACCGCCAGCUAAGGUCCCAAAGUCAUGGUUAAGUGGGAAACGAUGUGGGAAGGCCCAGACAGCCAGGAUGUUGGCUUAGAAGCAGCCAUCAUUUAAAGAAAGCGUAAUAGCUCACUGGUCGAGUCGGCCUGCGCGGAAGAUGUAACGGGGCUAAACCAUGCACCGAAGCUGCGGCAGCGACACUAUGUGUUGUUGGGUAGGGGAGCGUUCUGUAAGCCUGUGAAGGUGUACUGUGAGGUAUGCUGGAGGUAUCAGAAGUGCGAAUGCUGACAUAAGUAACGAUAAAGCGGGUGAAAAGCCCGCUCGCCGGAAGACCAAGGGUUCCUGUCCAACGUUAAUCGGGGCAGGGUGAGUCGACCCCUAAGGCGAGGCCGAAAGGCGUAGUCGAUGGGAAACAGGUUAAUAUUCCUGUACUUGGUGUUACUGCGAAGGGGGGACGGAGAAGGCUAUGUUGGCCGGGCGACGGUUGUCCCGGUUUAAGCGUGUAGGCUGGUUUUCCAGGCAAAUCCGGAAAAUCAAGGCUGAGGCGUGAUGACGAGGCACUACGGUGCUGAAGCAACAAAUGCCCUGCUUCCAGGAAAAGCCUCUAAGCAUCAGGUAACAUCAAAUCGUACCCCAAACCGACACAGGUGGUCAGGUAGAGAAUACCAAGGCGCUUGAGAGAACUCGGGUGAAGGAACUAGGCAAAAUGGUGCCGUAACUUCGGGAGAAGGCACGCUGAUAUGUAGGUGAAGUCCCUCGCGGAUGGAGCUGAAAUCAGUCGAAGAUACCAGCUGGCUGCAACUGUUUAUUAAAAACACAGCACUGUGCAAACACGAAAGUGGACGUAUACGGUGUGACGCCUGCCCGGUGCCGGAAGGUUAAUUGAUGGGGUCAGCGCAAGCGAAGCUCUUGAUCGAAGCCCCGGUAAACGGCGGCCGUAACUAUAACGGUCCUAAGGUAGCGAAAUUCCUUGUCGGGUAAGUUCCGACCUGCACGAAUGGCGUAAUGAUGGCCAGGCUGUCUCCACCCGAGACUCAGUGAAAUUGAACUCGCUGUGAAGAUGCAGUGUACCCGCGGCAAGACGGAAAGACCCCGUGAACCUUUACUAUAGCUUGACACUGAACAUUGAGCCUUGAUGUGUAGGAUAGGUGGGAGGCUUUGAAGUGUGGACGCCAGUCUGCAUGGAGCCGACCUUGAAAUACCACCCUUUAAUGUUUGAUGUUCUAACGUUGACCCGUAAUCCGGGUUGCGGACAGUGUCUGGUGGGUAGUUUGACUGGGGCGGUCUCCUCCUAAAGAGUAACGGAGGAGCACGAAGGUUGGCUAAUCCUGGUCGGACAUCAGGAGGUUAGUGCAAUGGCAUAAGCCAGCUUGACUGCGAGCGUGACGGCGCGAGCAGGUGCGAAAGCAGGUCAUAGUGAUCCGGUGGUUCUGAAUGGAAGGGCCAUCGCUCAACGGAUAAAAGGUACUCCGGGGAUAACAGGCUGAUACCGCCCAAGAGUUCAUAUCGACGGCGGUGUUUGGCACCUCGAUGUCGGCUCAUCACAUCCUGGGGCUGAAGUAGGUCCCAAGGGUAUGGCUGUUCGCCAUUUAAAGUGGUACGCGAGCUGGGUUUAGAACGUCGUGAGACAGUUCGGUCCCUAUCUGCCGUGGGCGCUGGAGAACUGAGGGGGGCUGCUCCUAGUACGAGAGGACCGGAGUGGACGCAUCACUGGUGUUCGGGUUGUCAUGCCAAUGGCACUGCCCGGUAGCUAAAUGCGGAAGAGAUAAGUGCUGAAAGCAUCUAAGCACGAAACUUGCCCCGAGAUGAGUUCUCCCUGACUCCUUGAGAGUCCUGAAGGAACGUUGAAGACGACGACGUUGAUAGGCCGGGUGUGUAAGCGCAGCGAUGCGUUGAGCUAACCGGUACUAAUGAACCGUGAGGCUUAACCUUACAACGCCGAAGCUGUU